rnacentral:rRNA from 1 species
UUCGCAAUGCCCGAAAGGGUGACGAAGCGACGCCGCGUGCGGGAAGAAGGCCUUCGGGUUGUAAACCGCUGUCGGGAGUUAAGAAAUGUAAGGAUGUCAAUAGCACCUUUGCUUGACUAAGGCUCCGGAGGAAGCCACGGCUAACUCUGUGCCAGCAGUCGCGGUAAUACAGAGGCGGCAAGCGUUGUUCGGAAUUAUUGGGCGUAAAGAGCACGUAGGCGGCUAUGUAAGUCGGUUGUGAAAGCCUUCCGCUCAACGGGAGAACAGCAUCCGAUACUGCAUGGCUUGAGUGCGGGAGGGGAGAGUGGAACUUCUGGUGGAGCGGUGAAAUGCGUAGAUAUCAGAAGGAACGCCGGCGGCGAAAGCGGCUCUCUGGCCCAUAACUGACGCUGAGUGUGCGAAAGCUAGGGGAGCAAACGGGAUUAGAUACCCCGGUAGUCCUAGCCGUAAACGAUGGGCACUAAGUAGAGGGGUUUU